rnacentral:rRNA from 1 species
ACUCAAUAGAUACCCAGGUAGUCCGCACCGUAAACGAUGAUUACUCGUUGUUGGCGAUAUGACAGUCAGCGACCAAAGCGAAAGCGAUAAGUAAUCCACCUGGGGAGUACGCCGGCAACGGUGAAACUCAAAGGAAUUGACGGGGGCCCGCACAAGCGGAGGAGCAUGUGGUUUAAUUCGAUGAUACGCGAGGAACCUUACCUGGGCUUGAAAGUUAGCGACCGGUCCUGAAAGGGAUCUUCCAGCAAUGGCGCGAAACUAGGUGCUGCAUGGCUGUCGUCAGCUCGUGCCGUGAGGUGUUGGGUUAAGUCCCGCAACGAGCGCAACCCCGUAUUGUUAGUUACCAGCGAGUAAUGUCGGGAACUCUAACGAAACUGCCCGUGCAAACGGUGAGGAAGGUGGGGACGACGUCAAGUCAUCACGGCCCUU